GACGAACGCUGGCGGCGUGCUUAACACAUGCAAGUCGAACGGAAAGGCCUUCUUUCCCUUGUGGAUUGCGGGUGCUCGAGUGGCGAACGGGUGAGUAACACGUGAGUGAUCUGCCCCCAACUUGGGUAUAAGCCUGGGAAACUGGGUCUAAUUCCCGAUAGGACUGCAGGGUGGUGCCUGUGGUGGAAAACGAUUUUCUAGUGGUUGGGGAUGAGCUCGCGGCCUAUCAGCUUGUUGGUGGGGUAAUGGCCUACCAAGGCGGCGACGGGUAGCCGGCCUGAGAGGGUGGACGGCCACAUUGGGACUGAGAUACGGCCCAGACUCCUACGGGAGGCAGCAGUGGGGAAUAUUGCACAAUGGGCGGAAGCCUGAUGCAGCGACGCCGCGUGGGGGAUGACGGCCUUCGGGUUGUAAACUCCUUUCGACCGCGAGGAAGCCACCUGGUUGGAAGGGUGGUGACGGUAGUGGUAGAAGAAGCACCGGCUAACUACGUG
rnacentral:rRNA from 1 species